rnacentral:rRNA from 1 species
AUUGAACGCUGGCGGAAUGCUUUACACAUGCAAGUCGAACGGCAGCACGGACUUCGGUCUGGUGGCGAGUGGCGAACGGGUGAGUAAUGUAUCGGAACGUGCCCAGUCGUGGGGGAUAACGUAGUGAAAAUUACGCUAAUACAGCAUACGAGCUAUGGAUGAAAGCGGGGGAUCGCAAGACCUCGCGCGAUUGGAGGGGACGAUAUCAGAUUAGGUAGUUGGUGGGGUAAAGGCACCACAAGCCAACGAUCUGUAGCUGGUCUGAGAGGACGACCAGCCACACUGGAACUGAGACACGGUCCAGACUCCUACGGGAGGCAGCAGUGGGGAAUUUUGGACAAUGGGCGAAAGCCUGAUCCAGCCGUUCCGCGUGCAGGAUGAAGGCCCUCGGGUUGUAAACUGCUUUUGUACAGAACGAAAAGGUUUCUACUAAUACUAGGAGCUCAUGACGGUACUGUAAGAAUAAGCACCGGCUAACUACGUGCCAGCCGCCGCAGUAA